rnacentral:lncRNA from 1 species
GAGGGAGGGGGUCUUGCCUCAUUUCUGUCAGGUGGGGGUGAAAGUCCAGGUGCCAUUGGCCCUUGAGGAGGCGGGGCUCCUUGUUAGUGCCAGGUGGGUGGGAGUGGGAAUCCGUGCUCCCACUAGGCCUCUAUUGGUAGCACCCAGGCUGGGAGAGAGGCAUCUUGCUAGUGUUCCUCAAGUAAUCUUCACUGCCAACAAGGAGGGGAGGGAGCGGACGGCAAUUGAGACAUCUGACUUCCCCUUGACUUCCUCUAACACUGGCAGAUGUUCAGACGUGUCCAGAGUUUCUUCCUUCUGAUGGGUUCGUCAUCUCGCUGACUUCAGGAGUAAAGCCGCAGACCUUCGCAGUGAACAUUACAGCUCUUAAAAGUGGCGUGUCCAGAGUUAUUUGUUCCUCCUGGUGGGUUCGUGGUCUCGCUGACUUCAGGAGUGAAGCCACAGACCUCCGCGGCAUUUUGGGAGUCCCUGCUGUGUGCUGGGAAUCAUAUUAGAUACCAGAGAUGAGUACAAGAUACAGUUCCUACAGUUCCUGCAAUUUAGGAGCUUGACAUGGAGACAUCCCCAUCCCAAUCCAUGGCCCCUCUUCAGAUGUUCAGAUUUCUGGCCACACGACAUUCUAUUCAAUGACCAUGCAGCCUGGUGUCACUCGCUGCCCCUGCUCUGCACCCGCCUGCCACCAGAUAUCAGGUCAGAGUUUUGUCAGGCCUCUGAGCCGAAGCUCGGCCAUUAUAACCCCUGUGACCUGCACAUAUCCGUCUAGAUGGCCUGCAGGAGCCAAGAAGUCUGGAGCAGCCAAAGAAAAACUACAAAGAAGUAAAACAGCCAGUCCCUGCCUUAACUGAGUAAAAUUACAAUAUUUUACUAUCGUGACUUGUCCCUGCCCUAUCUUAGUUGAUCAUUUGACUUUGUGACAUUCUUCUUCUGGACAAUAAGUCUUAUGAUCUCUCCACCAUGUACCUUGCAACCCUCUCCUCUGCUAACAGUAAAUAACUACCUUUUAUUGUAAUUUUCCAUUACCUACCCAACUCCUAUAAAGCAACCGCUUCCCCAUCUCCCUUCGCUGACUGUCUUUUCGGACUCAGCCCACUUGCACCCAAGUGAAUAAACAGCUUUAUUGCUCACGCAAAGCCUGUUUGGUGGUCUCUUCACACGGACGUGCUUGACAUUAUUAUUACUCAAAUCAGUCUCCCCAAUUAUUUGGGAACAGAGUCUUUUGUUUG